AGCGAACGUUUGCGGCGGGCUUGACACAUGCAAGUCGAACGGGCUGUUCCUUCGGGGCAGUCAGUGGCGCACGGGUGCGUAACACGUGGGUAAUCAACCCUCUGGUUGGGGAUAACACUUCGAAAGGAGUGCUAAUACCCGGUAUGGCGCAGCGGUCUUCGGAUCGCGGCGAGAAAGACCCGCAAGGGUUGCCAGAGGACGAGCCUGCGGCCCAUCAGCUAGUUGGCGAGGUAACGGCUCACCAAGGCGAAGACGGGUAGCUGGUCUGAGAGGAUGAUCAGCCACACUGGAACUGAGACACGGUCCAGACUCCUACGGGAGGCAGCAGUGGGGAAUAUUGCGCAAUGGGCGAAAGCCUGACGCAGCCACGCCGCGUGAGCGAUGAAGGUCUUCGGGUCGUAAAGCUCUGUGGGGAGAGAAGAAUAAAGCCUGUGAAGAGCAGGCCUUGACGGUAUCUCCUUAGCAAGCACCGGCUAACU
rnacentral:rRNA from 1 species